GGAGAGGGGGUAGAAAGGUGCCCCAGUACAGUAUAAAAGGUGGGAGGCAUCUCAAGCACAUCACUUGGCUUAUUCUGGAACCAACCAUGAAGGGCGUCAAGGCGGUGAUCCUGUGUAGCCUUCUCGCGACGGCUUUGGCUGGCAAGUUUCGUGGCUCCGGCACAUACGGAGGGGGUGGUUCCUACGGAGGCGGUGGUUCCUACGGAGGCGGUUUAGGAGGCGGUGUCAACGGAGGCGGUUUAGGAGGCGGUUUAGGAGGCGGUGUCAACGGAGGCGGUUUAGGAGGCGGUUUAGGAGGCGGUGUCAACGGAGGCGGUUUAGGAGGCGGUGUCCACGGAGGCGGCUUAGGAGGCGGUUUAGGAGGCGGUUUAAGUGGUGGUUUGGGUGGUGGUCUCGGUCGUCCGGGUGGUGGUCUCGGUCGUCCGGGUGGUGGUCUAAGACCGGGUUCUCGUGGGCCAAGCACUUGCAGGUACUGGUGCACCACUCCGGAGGGUAAACAGUACUGCUGCGAGGAUAAGAAUGAACCAGAGAUACCUGUUGGCACCAAACCACUGGAUUGCCCACAAGUCCGUCCCACAUGGCACGGUUCCAAGGACCCCCCGUAACCUGUUCCCACGACUUCAAGUGUGCUGGCCUCGAUAAGUGUUGCUUCGACAGGUGUUUGGGAGAACACGUGUGCAAGCCUCCUUCUUUCUACGGAAGGAACUGUGUAAGAGAUGAUAGAUAACAAACCAACUGACAGACAACCGAUGAUUUGGAAUUUAGGACCACGAAUGUUCAAUCUACUGUUAUGUCAAGUACCAAGCAAUCUGAGAGUACUAUUAUCUGUAAAAAAUAAAUAAACAAAUAAUAAAUGUAACAGGGAAUGAACUACUCCUUUCUGUUUAUUUAGUUGAAUCUUUGUUUAUAUCAAAAGAAACUUAGAAUGAAG